ensembl:lncRNA
AGCUGAGAGGGCCUGUGGGAUGAAGCUUCAGAGCAGGCAUCAUGAUUGGGCGGUGACGUCAAGACAGAUAGCCUCACUGUCGGCUUAACUCAACAAGUACUUCGGAAAACCUGCUACAUGCCCAGCACCAGGCGGGCUCCGGAGAGCAGCGGAAGGUGUUCUCCACGCAGACCCUGUCCUCCCGGAGCAGCCACUGGUUGAGAGUGUGCAGACUCCAGGGCCCACUUCAUCCUGCUGACUGGACAGGUGGACACAGCCAGGAGGAGUGGACAAACCCUCAAAGCCCCUUCCUGCAGUCAGGGCCAAACCUUCGCCUUCUUCUUGCUGCUCUUUAAGAAGCUUUCUAAAGAAGAGGAACCUCCCGCGGUAGCAGAUGGCGGAUAAGUAGGAAUGUGAAGGGACUGAAGACGGCAGUGUGCUCGUUGCUGGCCUUGGCAACCCUGAAAUGAGUCUCACUAAAGCUGAGGAAC